rnacentral:rRNA from 1 species
GUUUACGGCCAUACCACCCUGAGAACGCCCGAUCUCGUCUGAUCUCGGAAGCGAAGCAGGGUCGGGCCUGGUUAGUACUUGGAUGGGAGACUGGCUGGGAAUACCAGGUGCUGUAAGCU